AACCCCCUGCUAUUCUGAAUAUUCAAUGCGCAGUGCUCCUUCCCCUCCAGUGUAUUCAAUCCAGCGCGGCGGAGGAGAAGGUGAGUGGCGGCGCCGCGCUGUCUGACUUCUACCUGCACACCACCCACGCACCGCCAUCCGUCCGCGCGCUCGCCGGCAGAUACCGCGCCCUGCAGGUGGCGUCUACUCCCUGGGCGUUCUUCUUCUGGAGAUCCUCACCGCAAGUCCCCGACGCACUCCAGAUCCGGUCAAGGACGGGCCGACCGGCGGCGGCGGCUUGAACUCCUGGGUGGCGAGCUUGCUUCCUGAGAGAGUAGAGUGAGUUGAGAGAGAUGAAGAGAGAGCAUGGGGGGGAGGAGAAAGGAAGAGGGAGGUGCGGUGGUGGUUGGUUCACCGGUCCGGUGGCACUGGAUUGGCACCAGCACAGAGCUCCUGCUUACGGAAACGAAGAUCUGUUCUUGGGGAUGCGAAGAUCCAGGGAGGCACUCUCCCGUUCAGUUCUCCUUACUAUCGGUUCAGGGCCAUGCCACCGCAGGUGAAAGUUAAUCCCCUUCUGGGCCGGCAGACGUGACAUGGCUGGCUUUCACGGGAUUGGCAUUGGUGGCGCAGUCAAUACUACCUACAGAAGUGCCACCAAUCUGCACCAAGCUAUUGCGUCAAGGUGGGAUGUACAUUAACAAGGGGGGGAGGAGAAAGGAAGAGGGAGGUGCGGUGGUGGUUGGUUCACCGGUCCGGUGGCACUGGAUUGGCACCAGCACAGAGCUCCUGCUUACGGAAACGAAGAUCCGUUCUUGGGGAUGCGAAGAUCCAGGGAGGCACUCUCCCGUUCAGUUCUCCUUACUAUCGGUUCAGGGCCAUGCCACAGCAGGUGAAAGUUAAUCCCCUUCUGGGCCGGCAGACGUGACAUGGCUGGCUUUCACGGGAUUGGCAUUGGUGGCGCAGUCAAUACUACCUACAGAAGUGCCACCAACUG